rnacentral:rRNA from 1 species
AGUGAACGCUGGCGGUAGGCCUAACACAUGCAAGUCGAACGGCAGCACAGUAAGAGCUUGCUCUUACGGGUGGCGAGUGGCGGACGGGUGAGGAAUACAUCGGAAUCUACUUUUUCGUGGGGGAUAACGUAGGGAAACUUACGCUAAUACCGCAUACGACCUACGGGUGAAAUCAGGGGAUCUUCGGACCUUUCGCGAUUGAAUGAGCCGAUGUCGGAUUAGCUAGUUGGCGAGGUAAAGGCCCACCAAGGCGACGAUACGUAGCUAGUCUGAGAGGAUGAUCGACCACACUGGAACUGAGACACGGUCCAGACUCCUCCGGGGGGGAGCAGUAGGGAAUAUUUGGCAAUGGGCGGAAGCCUGAACGAGCCACGCCGCGUGAGGGAAGAAGGUCUUCGGGUUGUAAAACCCUUUUUUUAGGGAAGAAAAAACGUGUAAGUAAAUCCCCACGUUUUGACGGUACCCAAUCAGAAAGCCACGGCUAACUUCGUG